UACGUAGGGGGCUAGCGUUGUCCGGAAUCAUUGGGCGUAAAGAGCGUGUAGGCGGUCCGGUAAGUCCGCUGUGAAAGUCGGGGGCUCAACCCUCGAAUGCCGGUGGAUACUGUCGGGCUAGAGUGCGGAAGAGGCGAGUGGAAUUCCUGGUGUAGCGGUGGAAUGCGCAGAUAUCAGGAGGAACACCGGUGGCGAAGGCGGCUUCCUGGACAAAAACUGACGCUGAGGCGCGAAAGCGUGGGGAGCAAACAGG
rnacentral:rRNA from 1 species